GAUGCUGGAACCCCCAAAAGUCAUUUAGUUGAUGUAUAUAAUAAUUGAUCUUUUUUUUCCUUCAGCGACUUGGUUCACAACCACGAAGCCCUGUAAGAUGGAAAUACUGCCCCCCAGUGGUGACAACGAGAACUUCCAUGCCAGGGAAACGGAAAAUCUGGCCGGUUCAGGAAAGGCGCUGCUCUGCUCCUUUGCAGACUCUAAGCUCCAAGAGGGCAGGGACUGGCCGCCCUGUUUUUCAGUCUGCAGAUCUAGAGCCUGGAAGAACUCAUGGAUCCUGGAAGGCACCCAACAGCAUUCAGGAAGUAUGUAUUGCUGUGGAUGGCUUCUCAAUGACAAGAAGCAAACUUCCUAAGAUUUUUGUCCUUUGAGAAACUCUACAGCUUUUCCCAGAGGGGCAGUUCUGCUCUCCAGAAGACACCUGCUGUGAAGAGCCAAAAACAGCUGUGCAGGCCACAGAGGAAGCUGGCUCUCCCUCAGUAAGGAACCAAACCAAACCAAGA